GUCUUUUUGAUUAUAAUUUAAAGUCUAACCUGCCCAAUGAAUUAUUCAAUGGCCGCAGUAUUUUAACUGUGCGAAGGUAGCAUAAUAAUUAGUUUUUUAAUUGAGAACUGGUAUGAAUGGUUGGACGAGAAAAUAGCUGUCUCAAUUUAAUUUUAAUUAGAAUUUUAUUUUUAAGUUAAAAAGCUUAAAUUUUUUUAAAAGACGAGAAGACCCUAUAGAGUUUUAUAUUAAAUUUAUAUUGAAUUUAUAAAGUAUUCUAUAUAUUUUAUUUAAAUUUAGUAUUUUGUUGGGGUGACAUAAAAAUUUAAUAAACUUUUUAUUAUUUAUUACAUUGAUAUAUGUUUAAAUGAUCCAUUAUUUAUGAUUAAAAGAUUAAAUUACCUUAGGGAUAACAGCGUAAUUUUUUUUUAGAGUUCUUAUCGAAAAAAAAGUUUGCGACCUCGAUGUUGAUUUAAA
rnacentral:rRNA from 1 species